rfam:Pristionchus pacificus strain PS312 contig7242, whole genome shotgun sequence.
UCCUCAUUUCGCACACUCUCUCACCGGCCAGAGAGCCGAGAGAGUAUGCGAAAUGAGGAGA